rnacentral:ncRNA from 1 species
CUUAUUAAGAGUGGUGGAGGGACUGGCCCUAUGAAACCCAGCAACCUGUCGUAAGUGACAAGUGGCAAGUGAUGAAUGACAAGUUUUAACUUGCCACUUGCAAUUUUUAACUUGUAACUGAUGAUGUUGGUGCUAAAUCCUGCAGAAUAUCUGAAAGAUAAGU